UCAGAAAUAGCUUCCAGGCGGCGGGCGGAGCUCCACUGCGCACCUGGGCAGGAGGGGUGUUUGGGUCAGCGGCUGAGCAGCCGCCCCAGAAACUCUUUCCAGCCGACAAUUCGGUGGGGUCCGUUUACUGCUGAGCUGUCGUGGCCUGGGUGGCAUCCGCUGGUGAGGGCCGACGCCAGCCUAGCAACACCUGCUGAGCAACCAGAGCUCAGGAAACCAGAGAUCCUGGAGGAAAGAGAAGCCCAGGAGGAGAAAGGGGCUGCAAGGAAGCCCAGCUUCCCUUUAGGUGCUGGUGGAGACCCGUCACAUGGUAGCAAAACUGAAGAAAAUACUUUUCAGGUGCAAAACUGGAAAUGGCUUCCCCAGAACGUAAGGGCCUUGUCCCCUUCACCAGAGAGUCUCUUGAAGUUAUGGAACAGCAUAGUGCUAAAAAACACAGUGAGGAACACAAAGAAGAUUUAAAGCCAAACACUGACUUGGAAGCUGGAAAAGAGCUGCCAUUUGUUUAUGGAAAUCUUCCUAGAGCAAUGGUGUCAGAGCCAUUGGAAGAUGUGGACCCAUACUACAAGAAUAAAAUGACUUUCAUAGUAUUAAAUAAAAAGAGAACAGUAUUCAGAUUCAGUGCCACCUGGUGUACAUUGUCUCCUUUCAAUUCAGUUAGAAGAACAGCCAUUAAGAUUUUGGUACAUCCAUAU